rnacentral:ncRNA from 1 species
GUUUAUAACCGGGGGUGGCGGAGCAUAAUGAGACGUCGUUUCAUUUCCGCCUGAGAUUAUACCCUUCGAACCUGAUCCGGAUAAUACCGGCGGAGGUAGGUAUGAAAAAAAGUCA